GACGAACGCUGGCGGCGUGCUUAACACAUGCAAGUCGAGCGGUAAGGCCCCUUCGGGGGUACACGAGCGGCGAACGGGUGAGUAACACGUGGGUGACCUGCCCUCAGCUCUGGGAUAAGCCUGGGAAACUGGGUCUAAUACCGGAUAUGACUCCAUGACGCAUGUCGUGGGGUGGAAAGCCUUGUGCGGCUGGGGAUGGGCCCGCGGCCUAUCAGCUUGUUGGUGGGGUGAUGGCCUACCAAGGCGACGACGGGUAGCCGGCCUGAGAGGGCGACCGGCCACACUGGGACUGAGACACGGCCCAGACUCCUACGGGAGGCAGCAGUGGGGAAUCUUGCGCAAUGGGCGAAAGCCUGACGCAGCGACGCCGCGUGAAGGAUGAAAUCCUUCGGGAUGUAAACUUCGCAAAUAUGGGAAGAACACAAUGACGGUACCAUAUGUAAG
rnacentral:rRNA from 1 species